rnacentral:tRNA from 14 species
GUGCUUUUGGCCUAUUGGUUAGUGUGCCGGUCUCCGAUACUUGAGGCUGUGGGUUCGAGGCCCGGCCAGUACA